rnacentral:rRNA from 1 species
UACGGGGGGGGCAAGCGUUGUUCGGAAUUACUGGGCGUAAAGGGCUCGUAGGCGGCCAACUAAGUCGGACGUGAAAUCCCCAGGCUCAACCUGGGAACUGCGUCCGAUACUGGAUGGCUUGAAUUCGGGAGAGGGAUGCAGAAUUCCAGGUGUAGCGGUGAAAUGCGUAGAUAUCUGGAGGAACACCAAUGGCGAAGGCAGCUCGCUGGGACGUUACUGACGCUGAGACGCGAAAGCGUGGGGAGCAAACAGG